GCCUACGGCCAUACCAGUCUGAAAGUGCCUGAUCUCGUCAGAUCUCAGAAGUCAUGCAGACUUGGGCCUGCUUAGUACUUGUAUGGGAGACCAACUAGGAACCUCAGGUGCCAGUAAGCU